ensembl:misc_RNA 7SK 7SK RNA
GGAUGUGAGGGUGAUCUGGCUGCAACAUCUGUUACCCCAUUAAUUGCCAGGGUUGAUUCGGCCAAUCUGGCUGGUUAGGUGGAUGUGACCUUCCUCUGUCACUAUUCCAUGCAAAUCCCUCCUGAAGCUGCACUCUUGCUCGAAGAGACUGAACUUCCUGAACAGAGGAGGACCAGUCUUUGGUCAAGGGUAUACAAGUAGCUGUGCUUCCCUGCUAGAAAUUUCAAAUAAGCUCUCAAAAAGAAGAGCUAAGAAACAUUUUAAUGUCAGGACUAGGAAGUAUUGUUGCUUUAGGAAUAUUACAAUAAAUCUUAUAUAAAAUGAUUUUUUUC